CCUGAACAGGUUGACUGGAUUGGUCAGAAAAAUCAAAUAGAUGCUGCUAAGGAUGCAGGAGUGAAGCAGAUUGUGUUGGUUGGGUCUAUGGGUGGGACAAAUCUGAAUAAUCCCUUGAACAGUUUGGGCAAUGGGAAUAUAUUGAUUUGGAAGAGAAAGGCUGAACAGUAUUUGGCUGAUUCUGGUAUCCCAUACACAAUUAUAAGGGCUGGAGGCCUGCAAGAUAAAGAAGGCGGCGUCCGAGAAUUACUUGUUGGGAAGGAUGAUGAACUUCUUCAAACAGAUACAAGAGCCAUUGCAAGGGCUGAUGUUGCAGAAGUCUGCAUUGAGGCAUUAGCAUACGAGGAAGCUAAAUUUAAGGCAUUUGACUUAGCCUCCAAGCCAGAGGGAACUGGCACUCCAACAAAAGAUUUUAAGGCUCUCUUCUCCCAAGUCACCACUCGAUUUUGAUUUUCAAUUGACCAUUAUGACCGGUCUUGGAUGUUACAUUUCUGUGUUUAAACUUCAGAAAGAGUUGUC
rnacentral:misc_RNA from 1 species